UACGUAGGGCGCAAGCGUUUUUUUUUUUUUUUUUUUUACCGGAAUUAUUUGGGCGUAAAGAGCUCGUAGGCGGUCUGUCGCGCGGAUGUGAAAAUCCAGGGCUCAACCCUGGACCUGCAUUUCGAUACGGGCAGACUAGAGUUCGGCAGGGGAGACUGGAAUUCCUGGUGUAGCGGUGAAAUGCGCAGAUAUCAGGAGGAACACCGGUGGCGAAGGCGGGUCUCUGGGCCGAUACUGACGUGGAGGAAGCGAAAGCGUGGGAGCAAACAGG
rnacentral:rRNA from 1 species